rnacentral:misc_RNA from 1 species
AAAGUCGUAACAAGGUUUCCGUAGGUGAACCUGCGGAAGGAUCAUUCACAAAACGCAUCAUAUGUGUAGCGUACCCUCGGGAGUGAGUCCUAUUUAUAAUGAUAUUACUAUUAUUAUAAAAGAGGGCCGUACGUAAAUGUGGCUCCCGAGCGCUAUUCACGCUUGUCAUGUUUGUCAGAUAGUGGUUGGGAUGGAAACAGUAAUAAGAGACAACUUUUAACAAUGGAUCUCUUGGCUCUU